GUGCUUGUUUCGGCAGCACAUACACUAAAACUGGAAUGAUACAAAGAUUAGCAUAGCUUCUGUGUAAGAAUGAUAUGCAAAUUUGUGAAGUGGUCUGUGUUUUU
ensembl:snRNA U6 U6 spliceosomal RNA